ensembl:snRNA U2 U2 spliceosomal RNA
UUCGCUUCUCGGCUAAGAUCAAGUGUAGUAUCUGUUCUUAUCAGUUUAAUAUCUGAUACCUCCUCUAUAUGACGACUACAUAUUAAAUAGAUUUUUAGAACAGGGAGACGGAAGAGGGGCUUGCUCCGUCCGCUCCACGCAUCGACCUGGUAUUGCAGUACCUCCGGGAAUGGUGCACCUCCU